GACGAACGCUGGCGGCGUGCUUAACACAUGCAAGUCGAACGGAAAGGCCCUGCUUUUGUGGGGUGCUCGAGUGGCGAACGGGUGAGUAACACGUGAGUAACCUGCCCUUGACUUUGGGAUAACUUCAGGAAACUGGGGCUAAUACCGGAUAGGAGCUCCUGCUGCAUGGUGGGGGUUGGAAGGUUUCGGCGGUUGGGGAUGGACUCGCGGCUUAUCAGCUUGUUGGUGGGGUAGUGGCUUACCAAGGCUUUGACGGGUAGCCGGCCUGAGGGGGUGACCGGCCACAUUGGGACUGAGAUACGGCCCAGACUCCUGCGGGAGGCAGCAGUGGGGAAUAUUGCACAAUGGGCGGAAGCCUGAUGCAGCAACGCCGCGUGCGGGAUGACGGCCUUCGGGUUGUAAACCGCUUUCGCCUGUGACGAAGCGUGAGUGACGGUAAUGGGUAAAGAAGCACCGGCUAACUACGUG
rnacentral:rRNA from 1 species